rnacentral:rRNA from 1 species
AGCAGCCGCGGUAAUUCCAGCUCCAAUAGCGUAUAUUAAAGUUGUUGCAGUUAAAAAAGCUCGUAGUUGAAUUUCGAGAUCAAAUUGUUGGUCGUGCCUUGGUACGUACUGGCAUUAUUGGUUUCUCCCUUCUGACGAACCAUGAUGUCAUUAAUUUGGUGUCUUGGGGAAUCAGGACUGUUACUUUGAAAAAAAUUAGAGUGUUUAAAGCAGGCUCACGCUUGAAUACAUUAGCAUGGAAUAAUGAAAUAGGACGUUUGAUUCUAUUUUGUUGGUUUCUAGGAUCGACGUAAUGAUUAAUAGGGAUAGUUGGGGGCAUUAGUAUUCAAUUGUCAGAGGUGAAAUUCUUGGAUUUAUUGAAGACUAACUACUGCGAAAGCAUUUGCCAAGGAUGUUUCAUUAAUCAAGAACGAAAGUUAGGGGAUCGAAGACGAUCAGAUACCGUCGUAGUCUUAACCAUAAACUAUGCCGACUAGGGAUCGGAUGAUGUUAAUUUUUAAUGACUCAUUCGGCGUCC